UUGCUUCAGUAGCAUAUACAGUACAAUUGCAGUGAUACAAAGAUUUGCAUGCCCUUGAGCAAGGAUGACAUACAAAUUAGUGUAGUGUUCCUUAUUUUU
rnacentral:snRNA from 1 species